UACAGAGGUCUCAAGCGUUGUUCGGAUUCAUUGGGCGUAAAGGGUGCGUAGGCGGCGCGGUAAGUCGGGUGUGAAAUCUCGGAGCUUAACUCCGAAACUGCAUUCGAUACUGCGGGUCUCGAGUCCGGGAGAGGUGAGUGGAAUUCCUAGUGUAGAGGUGAAAUUCGUAGAUAUUAGGAAGAACACCAGUGGCGAAGGCGGCUCACUGGCCCGGUACUGACGCUGAGGCGCGAAAGCGUGGG
rnacentral:rRNA from 1 species